ACACUCCUACGGGAGGCAGCAGUGGGGAAUUUUGGACAAUGGGCGAAAGCCUGAUCCAGCAAUGCCGCGUGUGUGAAGAAGGCCUUCGGGUUGUAAAGCACUUUUGUCCGGAAAGAAAUCCUUGGCUCUAAUACAGUCGGGGGAUGACGGUACCGGAAGAAUAAGCACCGGCUAACUACGUGCCAGCAGCCGCGGUAAUACGUAGGGUGCGAGCGUUAAUCGGAAUUACUGGGCGUAAAGCGUGCGCAGGCGGUUUGCUAAGACCGAUGUGAAAUCCCCGGGCUCAACCUGGGAACUGCAUUGGUGACUGGCAGGCUAGAGUAUGGCAGAGGGGGGUAGAAUUCCACGUGUAGCAGUGAAAUGCGUAGAGAUGUGGAGGAAUACCGAUGGCGAAGGCAGCCCCCUGGGCCAAUACUGACGCUCAUGCACGAAAGCGUGGGGAGCAAACAGGAUUAGAAACCCCUGUAGUCCCAU
rnacentral:rRNA from 1 species